rnacentral:rRNA from 1 species
GAUUGUAGGCUGAAACUCGCCUACAUNAAGCUGGAGUUGCUAGUAAUCGCGAAUCAGCAUGUCGCGGUGAAUACGUUCCCGGGCCUUGUACACACCGCCCGUCACACCAUGGAAGUUUGUAACGCCCAAAGUCGGUGGCCUAACCUUUAUGGAGGGAGCCGCCUAAGGCGGGACAGAUGACUGGGGUGAAGUCGUAACAAGGUAUC